rnacentral:rRNA from 1 species
GAUGAACGCUGGCGGCGUGCCUAACACAUGCAAGUCGAGCGAAGCACUUACUUUAGCUUUCUUCGGAAUGACGAAGUUUGUGACUGAGCGGCGGACGGGUGAGUAACGCGUGGGCAACCUGCCCUGUACAGGGGGAUAACAGUUAGAAAUGACUGCUAAUACCGCAUAAGCCCACAGCUUCGCAUGAAGCAGUGGGAAAAACUCCGGUGGUACAGGAUGGGCCCGCGUCUGAUUAGCUAGUUGGUAAGGUAACGGCUUACCAAGGCGACGAUCAGUAGCCGACCUGAGAGGGUGACCGGCCACAUUGGGACUGAGACACGGCCCAAACUCCUACGGGAGGCAGCAGUGGGGAAUAUUGCACAAUGGGGGAAACCCUGAUGCAGCGACGCCGCGUGAGCGAUGAAGUAUUUCGGUAUGUAAAGCUCUAUCAGCAGGGAAGAAAGUGACGGUACCUGACGAGGAAGCCCCGGCUAACUACGUG